rnacentral:rRNA from 1 species
CACGGGUGAGUAACACGUAUCCAACCUAGCCGAUAACUCGGGGAUAGCCUUUCGAAAGAAAGAUUAAUAUCCGAUGGUAUAUUAAAACCGCAUGGUUUUACUAUUAAAGAAUUUCGGUUAUCGAUGGGGAUGCGUUCCAUUAGUUUGUUGGCGGGGUAACGGCCCACCAAGACAACGAUGGAUAGGGGUUCUGAGAGGAAGGUCCCCCACAUUGGGACUGAGACACGGUCCAAACUCCUACGGGAGGCAGCAGUGAGGAAUAUUGGUCAAUGGACGAGAGUCUGAACCAGCCAAGUAGCGUGAAGGAUGACUGCCCUAUGGGUUGUAAACUUCUUUUAUAUGGGAAUAAAGUAUUCCACGUGUGGGAUUUUGUAUGUACCAUAUGAAUAAGGAUCGGCUAACUCCGUGCCAGCAGCCGCGGUAAUACGGAGGAUCCGAGCGUUAUCCGGAUUUAUUGGGUUUAAAGGGAGCGUAGGUGGAUUGUUAAGUCAGUUGUGAAAGUUUGCGGCUCAACCGUAAAAUUGCAGUUGAAACUGGCAGUCUUGAGUACAGUAGAGGUGGGCGGAAUUCGUG